GUCUCUCGCUGGCGCUGGCACAGGAGCUUGGGAUCCGUCUCCUCUUUCGCCUCCUCCACCUUGGGAGCCCCGGGCUACUCUCUCACAGCCCUUGUUGCCCUGUGAUCUGUAGGUCUUGGGGACGCAUAGUUAAGGUGCCAGGACAUCCUGGAAGCUGGGAAAUGAUUUCUUCCAGACCAUGGCUGGAGAAGGAAAGAAGGUGUGUUUUGCCUGAUUCAGGGACUAUAGAGAGAACCAAGUUCUGCAGGCCUGUCACCUAAGUCUCAGGGCGGGGAGACCUUCCUUCCCCACGGGUUUGAGGCUAUGGCUAAGUGGUGAGCCUUGGGGAGAUGCAGAAAGGAUCCAUCCCAGGCACUUGGCUAGAG
rnacentral:lncRNA from 1 species